rnacentral:rRNA from 1 species
GAUGAACGCUGGCGGCGUGCCUAAUACAUGCAAGUCGAGCGAACGGACGAGAAGCUUGCUUCUCUGAUGUUAGCGGCGGACGGGUGAGUAACACGUGGAUAACCUACCUAUAAGACUGGGAUAACUUCGGGAAACCGGAGCUAAUACCGGAUAAUAUUUUGAACCGCAUGGUUCAAAAGUGAAAGACGGUCUUGCUGUCACUUAUAGAUGGAUCCGCGCUGCAUUAGCUAGUUGGUAAGGUAACGGCUUACCAAGGCAACGAUGCAUAGCCGACCUGAGAGGGUGAACGGCCCCAACGGAACUGAGACACGGUCCCGAAUCCUACGGGAGGCCGCCGUAGGGAAUCCUCCGCCAUGGGGGAAAGCCCGACGGAGCAAAGGCGGGUGAGUGAUUGAGGUCCUCGGAUCGUAAAACUCUGUUAUUAGGGAAGAACAUAUGUGUAAGUAACUGUGCACAUCUUGACGGUACCUAAUCAGAAAGCCACGGCUAACUACGUG